CCCCCACCCCACCACACCUUUCCUCUACGGAGCUGUUCCCUCAAAAUGGAAAUUCACCGGAGAGAGAAGAAAGAGCAGUGCAAACUGGCUGCGUUGUGAAUCCCAGCGGCUGCCGUGGCUCGCAUCUCCCGUGAGCCUACUCUGUGCCAGCAGCCUGCCAGGCGCUACAGACCAUGCACGGCCCUUCCCAGAAGAGAGUGGUGAGGCUGACCUUGGCACACGGCUAGGCGUCCCUUCUUAAGGAAAUUCUUGGAGAGGGAGGAAAAAUACUAGCGGACCCACCGUCAGGCUGCCUCUAAAGGACAGAGCUACAGGACAGCUACCGUGGGGUCUAGUUUUCCUGGUGUCCGUGUAGCUACAGUCGCUCUCCUGGUGUUAGUCCUGGGGUCCAGCCUCUGGACGCAUGGCCACACAAUAGGCACUGUCCAACCGCGGGCCUGGAAGCAGCUCUUCGAGGAACUCGGGAUCUAGCGCUCUCAGCUCACUGCACCAAGGUGGAGGCGGUUUUAUUCUCCUCGGACAAAGUCUCUCUAGAGGCGGGCUCUGGCUUCCCAGCGCAGCGCACAGACCCAGGAGAUGUACACGCCAACAACGCAUGUCCCCACUGUUCUGGAGGCUGAAAGUCCCAGAUCAAGGUGUCAGCAGGUUUGGUUCCUUUGAGGCCUCUCUCCUUGGCCCACAGAUGGCUGCCUUCUCCUUGGGUUCUCUCAAGGUCCACCCCCUUAGGCUGUUGUCGCAUUAAACACCUCGCCUGCCGGUGUGGCCCAUAUCUAAGCGCCCUCAUUCACAAAUAUUAGUGUGAAGCUCCUUCUCAGCCACUUCAGAUGGGAUCCAUAAACUCAUUUCCAGUGAUCCAGCACCGGUAAAACCAAAUGUGGGAGUUGGGGAGGGGGAGCCAAACCCUUCUCUGACAUCAGGAUAACUCCUCUGGUGCAAAGAGAGUGAGCUACAAGUAUAGACAGGAGACUUAAAGUCCCUGGUAUCAUUGUCAGGGGAAGUGAAGGGGAAAAAAUGAAAGCAAAAGCCGAGGUGCUGGAGCUGGCUGGGCCCCAAAAACCUCACCUUGGACUACACCAGCUCACUGCACAUUUUUCCUUCAUUGUCCAAGUCUCCCUGAUAAGCAUUAAUGAGAGCUAGAGGUGGAUUUUCUUCAGGAAGCAUUUCACCAAAAUAAAACUACUUUUUGCUUCUUGCUGAACUUCUGG
rnacentral:lncRNA from 1 species